rnacentral:snoRNA from 1 species
GGAUCCAUGAUGACAACAAGUCUCUGAGGACACUGAUCGACUCUAAAUUAUGCCAUUCUAAUCUCAUGAUGAGAGGUCC